rnacentral:rRNA from 1 species
AGAGUUUGAUCCUGGCUCAGAACGAACGCUGGCGGCGUGGAUAAGACAUGCAAGUCGAGCGCUGAUUUGGAGGUAGCAAUAUUUUCAAGUCGGAGCGGCGCAAGGGUGCGUAACACGUGGGAAUCUGCCUUGAAGUGUGGGAUAACUCCGAGAAAUCGGAGCUAAUACCGCAUGUGAUCGUAAGAUCAAAGUUGGGGAUCGCAAGACCUGACGCUUCAAGAUGAGCCCGCGGCCUAUCAGCUAGUUGGUGAGGUAAUGGCUCACCAAGGCUAAGACGGGUAGCUGGUCUGAGAGGACGACCAGCCACACUGGAACUGAGACACGGUCCAGACACCUACGGGUGGCAGCAGUCGAGAAUUUUUCUCAAUGGGCGAAAGCCUGAAGGAGCGACGCCGCGUGGGGGAUGAAUGGCUUCGGCCCGUAAACCCCUGUCAUUUGCGAACAAAAUUAUUUCACCCAACACGUGAAGUAUUGAUUGUAGCGGAAGAGGAAGGGACGGCUAACUCUGUGCCAGCAGCCGCGGUAAUACAGAGGUCCCAAGCGUUGUUCGGAUUCACUGGGCGUAAAGGGUGCGUAGGCGGUGGGGUAAGUCUGACGUGAAAUCUCCGGGCCUAACCCGGAAACUGCGUUGGAUACUAUCCCGCUCGAGGAAUGGAGGGGAGACUGGAAUACUUGGUGUAGCAGUGAAAUGCGUAGAUAUCAAGUGGAAC